GACGAACGCUGGCGGCGUGCUUAACACAUGCAAGUCGAACGGAAAGGCCCUGCUUUUGUGGGGUGCUCGAGUGGCGAACGGGUGAGUAACACGUGAGUAACCUGCCCUUGACUUUGGGAUAACUUCAGGAAACUGGGGCUAAUACCGGAUAGGAGCUCCUGCUGCAUGGUGGGGGUUGGAAAGUUUCGGCGGUUGGGGAUGGACUCGCGGCUUAUCAGCUUGUUGGUGGGGUAGUGGCUUACCAAGGCUUUGCCGGGUAGCCGGCCUGAGAGGGUGACCGGACACAGUAGAACUGACAUACGGCCCAUACUCCUACGGGAGGCAGCAGUGGAGAAUAUUGCACAAUGGGCGGAAGACUGAUCCAGCAACUCCGCGUGCGAGAUGACGGCCUGCGGGUUGUAUACCGCUUUCACGAGUAACGAAGCGUAAGUGACGGUAAGGGGUAAAGAAGCACCGGCAAACUACGUG
rnacentral:rRNA from 1 species